UACGGGGGGGGGCAAGCGUUGUUCGGAAUUACUGGGCGUAAAGGGCGCGUAGGCGGCCUGCUAAGUCGGAUGUGAAAUCCCUCGGCUCAACCGAGGAACUGCAUCCGAUACUGGCGGGCUUGAAUCCGGGAGAGGGAUGUGGAAUUCCAGGUGUAGCGGUGAAAUGCGUAGAUAUCUGGAGGAACACCGGUGGCGAAGGCGGCAUCCUGGACCGGUAUUGACGCUGAGGCGCGAAAGCUAGGGGAGCA
rnacentral:rRNA from 1 species